rnacentral:rRNA from 1 species
AGUAAUAUAUAGAUAACGUGCCUCUUAGUCUGGGAUAGCCAUUGGAAACGAUGAUUAAUACUAGAUACUCCUUCUCAUUAUAAUGUGAGUUGGGAAAGUUUUUCGCUAAGAGAUCGGUCCAUAUCCCAUCAGCUUGUUGGUAGUGUAAGAGACUACCAAGGCAAUGACGGGUAGCGGGUUUGAGAGGAUGAUCCGCCACACUGGUACUGAGACACGGACCAG